CCUACGGGCGGCUGCAGUGGGGAAUAUUGCACAAUGGGCGCAAGCCUGAUGCAGCCAUGCCGCGUGUGUGAAGAAGGCCUUCGGGUUGUAAAGCACUUUCAGCGGGGAGGAAGGCGUUAAGGUUAAUAACCUUGGCGAUUGACGUUACCCGCAGAAGAAGCACCGGCUAACUCCGUGCCAGCAGCCGCGGUAAUACGGAGGGUGCAAGCGUAAAUCGGAAUUACUGGGCGUAAAGCGCACGCAGGCGGUCUGUCAAGUCGGAUGUGAAAUCCCCGGGCUCAACCUGGGAACUGCAUUCGAAACUGGCAGGCUAGAGUCUUGUAGAGGGGGGUAGAAUUCCAGGUGUAGCGGUGAAAUGCGUAGAGAUCUGGAGGAAUACCGGUGGCGAAGGCGGCCCCCUGGACAAAGACUGACGCUCAGGUGCGAAAGCGUGGGGAGCAAACAGGAUUAGAUACCCUAGUAGUC
rnacentral:rRNA from 1 species